UACCGCUAUUGGAGUUCGAUUAAGCCAUGCGAGUCGCGAGAAAUUAGAUUCUCGGCGUACCGCUCAGUAACACGUGGGUAACCUGCCCUAUGCUGGAUAAUAACCUCGGGAAACUGAGUAUAAUGAUCCAUAGUUCACUACGCCUGGAACGGUGAGUGGACGAAAGCUCCGGCGGCAUAGGAUGGGCCUGCGGCGUAUCAGGUUGUAGGGGGUGUAACGUACCCUCUAGCCCUCUACGCGUACGGGUGUUGGGAGACAUAGCCCGGAGAUGGAUUCUGAGACACGAAUCCAGACCCUACGGGGUGCAGCAGGCGCGAAAACUUGGCAAUGCGAGAAAUCGUGACCAGGGAACUCCAAGUGCAUCGGGUAAGACCGGUGCUUUUCUUGACUCUAAAUAGGUCUUGGAAUAAGGGGUGGGUAAGGACGGUGCCAGCCGCCGCGGUAAUACCGGCGCCUCAAGUGGUAGUCGCUUUUAUUGGGCCUAAAACGUCCGUAGCCGGUCUGAUACAUUCGUGGGUAAAUCAACCAGCUCAACUGGUUGAAUUCUGCGAGGACGGUCAGACUUGGGACCGGGAGAGGUGUGGGGUACGCUCAGGGUAGGGGUAAAAUCCUGUCAUCCUGAGCGGACCACCUGUUGCGAAGGCGCCACACUAGAACGGAUCCGACGGUCAGGGACGAAGCCUAGGGGCACGAACCGGAUUAGAUACCCGGGUAGUCCUAGGUGUAAACGCUGUGGACUUGAUGUUGGGGGUGCUCCGAGCACUCUCAGUGUCGAAGCGAAGGUGAUAAGUCCACUGGCCUGGGAAGUACGGUCGCAAGGCUGAAACUUAAA
rnacentral:rRNA from 1 species